rnacentral:rRNA from 1 species
AGGACUAACGUUGGCGGCGUGCCUAAUACAUGCAAGUCGAGCGGGUCAGGGGGCAACUCCUGAUUAGCGGCGAACGGGUGAGUAACACGUGGAUGAUCUACCUCCGAGAUUGGGACAACCAGCCGAAAAGGUCGGCUAAUACCGAAUAAGACCACGGCUAGCAUCGACUAGCUGCGGUAAAAGCUGGGGAUCGCAAGACCUAGCACUUGGAUAUGAGUCCGCGCCUGAUUAGCUAGUUGGCGGGGUAAUGGCCCACAAGGCGACGAUCAGUA